rnacentral:tRNA from 13 species
GCCUCGGUAGCGCAGUAGGCAGCGCGUCAGUCUCAUAAUCACUCCAGCGACUAAUCUGAUGGUCGUGCGUUCGAUCCUCACCCGGAUCA